rnacentral:lncRNA from 1 species
AUACAAUGGGUUGAUCUGUAGAAUGGAGUGAGCUGGACAAUGGGGCUACUCACCCCACCCACCUUGCAAAGUGAUGCAGGACAGGAAAUGGGUUAAUAGAAGCUCGGAUUUAGAAGAGUGCCUGGCACGCCUAAGGGCUCAAGCCGUCUGUGUAAUUAUCUUAAACUUUUUCAUUUCGGAAAUGAAACAGCUCCUCCCUUCACCGCCACCUUGGCUAUUUCUGGGACCAAAGGAAUCCUUGAAGCUGACCGGGCAGGAGAGUCCACGCUGGGAGUAAAAUCACUACAAACUGUCCAUCAGAAGGCCCCUGCUGAGUAGUUGGCAGGGUGGCUGCACAUAAUGGAAAGCACAUAAGCUUGAAGCCAGACAGAUGGGAGUUCUAACCCCAGCCCUGCCACUUAUUCCCAGGUGACACUGAGUGGAAAUUAGGCCAAAAUAAAUACUACUUUCUGCUUAAAAAAAUGCAGUGAUGUCCAAAGAGAAGGGAGGAGGAAGGAUGAAAGGAAAGACAGAGGAGGAAGGAAGAGAAGAAAGAAGAGUGGCCGGCACAAGGGCUUGGAGAUCCCUGAAGCUGUUUUCCUUUCUCCUCACCCCCACAGGGAGGGAUCCACAUCGUUGUGGGGUUUUUGUUGUUGUUGUUUUUGUUUUUGUUUUUUUGCCUCCCUUCAUCAAAGCAUUCAUUGUAGUGUAUGGUAAUUGUCUCUGAAUGUAACAGCCUCUCUUCCCUGAGGCCUGGGUCUGCUUGUUUCAUACCAUCUUCUCCUUAACACACAGUGCUUGGUAAACAAUACCUAUUAAUAAACAUUUGUUGAAUGAAUGAAUGAGUGAAUGAACGAAUACUGCACUCUUUCG